ensembl:lncRNA MPHOSPH10P1 MPHOSPH10 pseudogene 1
UCAGUGAUGAGGAUUCUGACCUUGACUUUGAUAUCAGCAAAUUGGAACAGCAGAGCAAGUCAGGUAAAAGUUCCAGAAAUGUGAACAACAAAGAUUUUUUUGAUCCAGUUGAAAGUGAUGAAGACAUAGCAAGUGAUCAUGAUGAUGAGCUGGGUUCAAACAAGAUGAUGAAAUUGCUGAAGAAGAAGCAGAAGAAGGAAGCAUUUCUGAAAUAGUUUUGGUAGUGUAGGGAUGAAGGUGAUCACCUGGAAGAAAGAGAAGACAGUAAACAAUGUAAAGAAAGCUUGAAAAGAGUGACUUUUGCUUUGCCGGAUGAUGAGGCAACUGAAGAUGCAGGUGUUUUAAAUGUAAAGAAAAAUUCUGAUGAAGUUAAUCUUCUUUUGAAAAAAGACAGGAAAAGAUGAAUGAAAAAAAUUACAUCUUUAGAAAAAGAGUUAUUAGAAAAAAGCCUUGGCAGCGUCGGGGGGAAGUGACAGCACAGAAGAGACCAGAGAAUAGCUUCCUGGAGGAGACCCUGCACUUUAACCAUGCUGUCUGGAUGGGUACAGUGCCCUCUUCUGCAAAGAGUUCACUUCUAUGCUUUUUCUGUGGUUCCAUUUCAUAGAAAGAUUUGGGGCGAUGUUUCUUUUCCCUUAACUUUUUAUUUUAAAAACUUGCAAACACAGAAAAGUUGAUAAAAUCAUACAGUGAACAUCUGUAUUCUAUUCAACUGGAUUCACUAGUUCACAUUUUGUCAUAUUUGUGUUCUCUUUUCCCCAUAUGGAAGAUUGUAUAUUUGCCCUUUUUCCCCCUGAAUCAUUUCAAAGUAAGUUGCCAGUAUCAUAGCAUUUCACUGUUAAGUACUUUUGCAGAUAUCUCCUAAGAACCAGGAUAUUCUCCUAUAUAAUCACAAUACCAUUAAUCCACCCAAAACAUUUAACAUCAGUACACUAAUGAUACCUACUGUAUAGAUUAUAAUCAGCUUCCUUGCAGUAAUCUGUUUAGAAGACUUGCAUCCUGUCACUGUCCACUGAUUAAAUUUUGAACUCUUAACU